rnacentral:rRNA from 1 species
CACGUAGGGUGCGAGCGUUGUCCGGAAUUAUUGGGCGUAAAGCGCGUGUAGGCGGCUUUGCAAGUCGGGUGUGAAAUCCCUCAGCUUAACUGAGGAAGUGCGCCCGAAACUGCUUCUCGUCUGAGUGCCGGAGAGGAUGGCGGAAUUCCCCAAGUAGAGGUGAAAUUCGUAGAUAUGGGGAGGAACACCGGUGGCGAAGGCGGCCAUCUGGACGGUAACUGACGCUGAGACGCGAAAGCGUGGGGAGCAAACAGG